UACAGAGGGGGCAAGCGUUAUUCGGAAUUAUUGGGCGUGAAGGGCGCGUAGGCGGCCUGUUAAGUCGAACGUGAAAUCCCCGGGCUCAACCCGGGAACUGCGUCCGAUACUGGCAGGCUUGAAUCCGGGAGAGGGAUGCGGAAUUCCAGGUGUAGCGGUGAAAUGCGUAGAUAUCUGGAGGAAUACCGGUGGCGAAGGCGGCAUCCUGGACCGGCAUUGACGCUGAGGAGCGAAAGCUAGGGGAGCAAACGGG
rnacentral:rRNA from 1 species